ACAUUGAAACAGCAUGGCGACCCUCAGACAGGCAUGCCGACGUUGGCCACUGAGAAAACUCGGUGUGUCAGAGAAAAGUGGUUUGUUUUCCAAUUGUUCGACCGAAAAUGCGUGUGCUGUUUCUGCUUGCGCCUUUACAUCACUCUCCAAACUGCAUCAGACCGGUGACCAACACAGAGUAGUUGUGAAGAGGAGUGAAUUUCUCCAAAGAAAAUCUUUCCACACCUCUUCACUUGACUUUAAAGAGGACUACUACAAAAUCCUAGGAGUCUCCAAAUCUGCAGAUCAAAAGGAAAUCAAGAAGGCAUAUUAUAAGUUGGCAAAGAAAUACCAUCCUGAUGUGAAUAAAGAAAACAAAGAGGCUGCAAAAAAGUUCCAGGAGGUUGCAGAGGCAUAUGAGGUGCUGAGUGAUAAUUCCAAGCGUAGGCAGUACGAUACUUAUGGACAGACUGGUGGGGCCCAGGGAGGGGGCCAAGGAUUUCAGGGAUUUAGUGGAGCCUAUGGGGGUCAAGCUGGUUUCCGAGGCCAACAUGUUGAUCCAGAAGAAUUAUUCAGAAACAUUUUUGGAGAUAAUUUUAAUUUCAAAAACUUUUCUGAAAGUGAUGAGUUUGAAAGCACUCAAUAUGGAUUUGCACAGGCACAGGAGUUUUACCUGGAUCUGACUUUUGAGGAAGCAGCUCGAGGGGUAAACAAAUCGGUGAAGAUGAACGUAAUUGACGAAUGUCCUAAAUGUUACGGCAGGAAAGCAGAACCAGGGUCCUCAGCCGAAACAUGUUCCCAGUGCAAUGGCACAGGGAUGGAAACCAUCAACACAGGACCUUUUGUGAUGAGGUCAACUUGUAGAAAAUGUCACGGCCAGAGAAAAAUCAUUUCCAGGAAAUGUACGGAGUGUAAGGGGAAAGGGAACAUUAUCCUCCCCAAAAAUGUCAACAUCCCAGUACCAGCAGGUGUUGAGCAUGGUCAAACGAUUCGAUUAAAAGUGGGAAAACAAGAAUUAUUUGUCACAUUACAAGUUGCCAAAAGUAAUGUAUUCCGGCGAGAAGGUGCUGACGUUCACUCAGAGGUCUCCAUUAGUCUUUCACAAGCUGUUCUAGGAGGAACUGUUAGGGUUCCAGGAGUGUAUGAAGAGUUACACCUUAAGAUCCCAGCUGGCACCCAAUCGCAUGACAGAAUACGAGUUGCUGGUAAAGGAAUCACCAGGGUCAACAGUUUCGGCCAUGGCGACCAUUAUGUUCAUUUCAAAAUAAAAAUUCCUAGGACUUUGACAGCAGAUCAAAAGGCAUUAAUUAUGGCCUAUGCUGAGCUGGAUAAAGAGGUCAAUGGGUCAGUGGAAGGCAUAGUGAAAACUAACAAAGAGGGAAGGUCUCAAAAUUCAGAAAGACCAACUAGUGAUACUGUUGAUAAUGAAGGUGAAGACGAUGAUGGAAUUCUGAGUAAAAUAAAGAGAAAAAUAUUUGGAUGAUGAAGGUGCCAACUAGGAUUUUAAAUUAUUGCAUUAUUUUAAAGGAGCACAGGCAAUUGAUAACCCUCUGGUGAGGAGGAUCCUGGAAGCCCUACAUAAAGAAAAAGGCUCAGAGGAGGAGGACCAAGAUAAGAAAGGCCCCUCACAGACAUUUUCUGGCAAGCAUUCUUCCAAAGGCAAAAAGAGCUCUUCUGUGUCAUAGACCCUUCCAUUCAUUUUACAUGCACUUUCAUUUCGAAAGGAGAUUACAGCAUUUGCGUGUUGUUAAUUCAGGCUGAAGGCAAGAAUCUUAGCAACCAGUCUACCAGUUUAACGUCAGUUUGGGUGAUGAAGCAGAAAUCCUUUGCAAGUUUUAAGAAAGCAUUGACAUCUUGAAUUAUACAGAGUUAAGUAAAGAAAUAAGCUAUGGAAUUCACAGAGGAUAAAAAGAUGCUGUAAUGUAUACAAAUAUACAAAAACAUCAUGGAAUGUACGUGUGUAUAUUUCAAGUGAUAUUUUAGUAGAGCCGCAAGAGUGGCUUUUAUAAAGUGUGAGAGAUUUCUUUUUGUAACCAUGAGUUAUUUAUUGAGAACAGUAAAAUUUUAUGUCAGAGUUGCAUGUAAUGAUGUACAAUGUAACUGUUCAGUUUUUGUGAACUAGUGCUUAAAAUCUUUAUCUGUAAAUAAAUAUACAUGUAUUUAUAAAAUUUAAUCUAAAGGAUUGAUUCAGUUUUUAUAUCAAAAUAUGUUAAUGUAAAUAUUGUAGAAGCUGAUCACGCUAAUACAUACAUGUACAUGUAAAGUAUUGGCAAAAGUACAUUUACCAAUUUUCCCCAUCAAGUUAAAGGUAGUACAAGUACUAGCAGACAAAAUGUAAGCAUGUACUAAGUAAGCAACAACUGUACUUGUUAACAUUUGACCUUUCCCAUGUACAGUAUAUUUUUUUGUGCUUGAUUAGUCUGUGAUAGUAUUAAAUUUCAUAGAUUAACUUAUUGUCAUUUCUCAUCAAGAGCUUUUAUUGUGCGGCAUACUGGUCGUAACAUUUUGCAUCUGAUGAUAAUAAAAGCAGAUGUUGCACAGUGUUUCCAUUAUAUUACAACCAAUAGUAUACAAUCUGAUAUACAUGUAAUAAUAAAUGUUGGUGGCAAACGUUGGAAAGAUAGAAUGUAACAUGUGACUUAUGAGUGCUGAAUUGUGACAAUGAUAGUCCUUGAAAGGGAGUGAUAUGCAAUGGUAUCUGUCUUUUAAUGUACAACUGUACAAACAAUGUCCUCUUGAUAUUUGUUGAUUUUGUUAUUGGCAUUAAAAAUUAAGAAAAAU
rnacentral:misc_RNA from 1 species